UCAACCCUGUUUCUCCAGUCUCGGAAAUACUCGAUCCGCCGCCUGGAAGCCAGCCGAGCCGCCUACCUCACCGUCCCUGCCCGGCCGCCCGGAACCACUGGUAGACUGCCCUUUGACCCCAAGUCCCUGACCGGCCUGAAGGCUGACAUCCGCGACCUGCCGCUGCCUGCCUCGCUUGGCGCCCGGCCGACUACUGUCCGCGCAGUCACGCAGGCGCACCACCGCGCCCUGCUGACUGGACUGCCGGAGCCGCCCACUUCCAGUGCGCUCCGCGGCCGCUUCCUCAGCCGCUGAUCCUUCGGUCCUCCCCAAUCCCCAUCCCUUGCUCAGCUCAGAGAGGUACCACAUCCCGGCGUCCCCUGAUCUCUGAAUCUCCAUGCUUUGGACGAAAUUACAUUAUGAAACUUAUAUGCAGUAAUGCCUAGUUUAGUAGUGUAGUUUUUAAAAUACCGCAGUAUUCCUAAACUUCGGUAUUGGCAAUGAAGAUGGGCGGCAGUCUGCCAGGUUCAUGCUAUGGAAGGGUGAAUUCUCAUUGAAAGGCGAUAUGCAUGUGACCGACCAUGUUAAUUUAUCGCUAAGAUUUCCUGAUCCCAGUGGUUGUUUUAAGAAUGCCGAGUUCCCGUUCGAUGUGGACCAAGAUACCAGCCUUUCUGUGGCUCUGUAAAUGGUCGACACUUUUGGAUUGCCCCAAGGGAACAUGCAGAUCAUAGCGCAGCUGAUUGAGGUGUUCUUGCUCACCCUGAUCCCUGAAUGGGUGCCCUGCAUUGCUGUCGGAUAGGUGGUUGUGGUUCCUGAGAGUGCACACAGCCACGGCUACAUCUCCAAAAGAAUCAUGAAGUACAGGCAUCUCAGAUUGGCCGUCCUAGGAUAGUUCUGCUUUCCCCAGCUAGUGUAUCUUCAGGUUUUUUGUUUAGUCGGAUGAAUUUGGCCUUGCUUCAGCCUCUGGUGCGGCUCAUAUUACAGUGCCCACUCGACAUGUUGCUAGGCACGGCAUUUUUCUUUGAUGGUGAUGAAAGUUAGUGCAGAUCUACUAGAUUCAUUGACUGAGAGUAAUCAGUUGGAAGUAGUUUGAAUGCGUCCCUUUGUUCUCUAAAUUGUUGUGUUCAAUCCAAUUUUGAAUUCUAAAAUUUUCCUGGUUUCUUCAUAAAAAUAAUACUAUAGUUUCUGAAAACAUCAAUUUUCUCAGUUUUCAUGAAACUACUGAUAUGUUUGGCUGGUACUGUUUUACCGUAGUUUUGACCCUUACGCAACUGAAUCUAACUUAGCUAGCCUACACCUAAGGAGCUACAUGACCGGAUCAAUAAGUGUGUGCGGUUCUGUACGGCCUUCUGACCGCUGACCUAGGAACUUGCGGAUGCGAUUAACUGUCCGUGGCUAACUACGAAGAAUAGGAAUCAGUAUCAUGUUUAACUAGUGUGCAGCAUGCUGUGCGUAGGAAUGGACCACUAGUACGAAAGAGAUACUGCCAUGUUGUUAAUUGUGAUUUCAAGUUACAAACCAAGCUGCAUGGUAGUCAGGUUCUAAUGUGAUUCUGUUAUUUACAUUCUUAGUAUCAUUGUUGAACUUAUGUCAAUCUGGACAUGAAACUUACCACUAUCGCUUCUGAAUGCAGGUUCGAUGGUAAUGAAAAAGACACCUAUCUGAAUAUGUGGAGCCUAGUUGGAGUGAGGAAUUCAUUAGUGUUAUUGCUAUUUUUUCUUUGAUGUUUAUGUACUUUAUAAUUCAGACAAGAAGAUUUGUAGGUGUGAUAGGCCUAAAGUGUCAAUACUUGAUCCCAAAUAUGUUGGUUCCACGAACAACAUAGAAGUGUUAAAUAUGCUAGUUCCACGAACUCGAUCAAUACAUUGGUGUUGGUUGUCUUCUUUCCAAUACAUCAUGAGUUGCAAUUUUCUAUAAAUUGUGAGCUGCAUAAUGUUUUUGGUUCUAACAAUGGAUGAGAAAGAAAAAGAAAGAGAAAUAAGAAGCAUAUAGUUACAUAAAUG
rnacentral:lncRNA from 1 species